GAAAUGCGAUAAGUAAUGUGAAUUGCAGAUUUCAGUGAAUCAUCGAAUCUUUGAACGCACCUUGCACCUUCUGGUAUUCCGGAAGGUACAUCUGUUUGAGUGUCAUUAAAUUCUCAACCAUUCAGCUUUUGUUAGCUGUCUGGCUUGGAUGUGAGGGUUGCGGGCUGCGUAACAGCGGUCGGCUCCCUUUAAAUGCAUUAGCUGGGAACUAGUACUUGAUUCAAGUGCUUCGAUGUUUGAAGCCUCCUGGUGUGAUAAUUAUCUACGCUGUUGGCUUAGUCGUUGCGUCUAUUGGACCUUGGAAUGGACCUGCUUCUAACUGUCUCGCAAGGGACUAGUCCGCUACAGGGCUAUAAUGACUAUUGUGACCUCAAAUCAGAUGGGACUACCCGCUGAACUU
rnacentral:misc_RNA from 1 species